rnacentral:rRNA from 1 species
GAUGAACGCUGGCGGCGUGCCUAAUACACGCAAGUCGAGCGAACAGACGAGGAGCUUGCUCCUCUGACGUUAGCGGCGGACGGGUGAGUAACACGUGGAUAACCUACCUAUAAGACUGGGAUAACUUCGGGAAACCGGAGCUAAUACCGGAUAAUAUAUUGAACCGCAUGGUUCAAUAGUGAAAGACGGUUUUGCUGUCACUUAUAGAUGGAUCCGCGCCGCAUUAGCUAGUUGGUAAGGUAACGGCUUACCAAGGCAACGAUGCGUAGCCGACCUGAGAGGGGGAACGGCCACACUGGAAGUGAGACACGGUCCAGGCUCCUACGGGAGGCAGCAGUAGGGAAUCUUCCGCAAUGGGCGAGAGCCUGACGGAGCCACGGCGCGUGAGUGAUGAAGGUCUUCGGAUCGUAAAACUCUGUUAUUAGGGAAGAACAAAUGUGUAAGUAACUAUGCGCGUCUUGACGGUACCUAAUCAGAACACCACGGCUAACUACGU